ACGCAUGCGCUGCACGUCACAUGAACGCAUAACGUAUAUAGACAGAAUACACUGUUGCAGGUAUCGAUAGAUCGUUUUCUUUUUGCGAAAAUCUCGGAGACUAGAGCUGAGCUACGAUUGCACGUGCAUACAGGGAAAAAUUGUUCAAAAUGUCCUAUAUUCGAAAUAUCGAACGUAUCCAAAAGUCAUUGAAAUCUAAGAACAAGGGUCGUCGGUCGCCGGAUUGAAAAAACUUAUCCCGAAACACAAAUCCAAUACACUGAUGAUAUCCGUUUCUAAUUGAAUUAUAACAGAUGUUUCUUACAAUCUUGCAUACGUAGUUGUGAUCGGAUUUUGAUUCAAGUUUUUCUUUAAGAUUCUUCUCUAUUCCUGUAGAGAGUGCCGAUAGAUGUUAGACGUAUCGAACGUGGAAAAGGAUAAUGCGAGUGAAAAAGAAAGAGGGACUAAGAGUCGAAACGUUUGGCUUCCAUAUGAAAUAGUAGAAAGGCACGCUACAAGCUGAGACCUUUAACUGAAAUAUCGAACUUUUUUAUUUUUCAUUUGUGAUGAAUAGAACCUUUAUCAACGUGUUUUUUUUUACGCGUUUCUGGUUACUAUAAUUUGCGAACAUAUUCGCUUAUUUCAUAAAUAAUAAUUAAAUAAAUAUCAGUAAGUAAAUAUAAAAUUCAAGUUAUACCGUGUUUGGUCUCAUUUUAAUUAAAAAGUUCUUACAAAUACGCUGACAAAGAUUAAUUGGAAAAAAGCCAAAGAUAAGAAAAUUUCACUCUUUGAUUAGUACUGACAUACAUAUAUAUAUCAUCUGAGCGAUAUCUGACACUGGAUCGCGUUACACUACUCAACCGCGGCUGGCCCUGGAACUUACCGGCGCGUUAUGUAUAUUUCACAUGAUUGUCUACCUGUAAUUUGAUCCCUACCCUCCCGUCCCUAUAAUGGGGAUGACAACCAUACGAUUACCAAGAGUAAGAGUAGAUUCUUUUCCUGCAAUUGUUAUAGAAGUUGCAAUUGUUGUAGAAGAUCUUCGACAAAGUCAGAUUUUAAGUUGGAUCCGAGGAUUCAACGAAAACAGAGAAAGCGUUCCGUUGGUCAACGCAUUACUAAUUUUUGUUUUUAUUGCGUUUAUUGACAAAGGUUAUUAAAUAUUACAACGAAUCCAAUGUUAGUUCUUACUUUAGAGCAUUCGCAGAUUAUAAUUUUUAUCGUUUUUGAAUAGCGACCAUGAUA
rnacentral:lncRNA from 1 species